UUACCACAGUGUUUUCACCUAAGUUAUUACUCCCUCCAUCCCAAAUUACUCGUCACUGAAAUGGAUGUAUCUAGAACUAAAAUACAUCGAGAUACAUCCAUAUGUGCGACAAGUAAUUCAUAACGGAGGGAGUAGGUUUGUGGUACGUAUAUUACCAUGUUAUUUACACAUAAGUUAUCGGGGGUAUCUUUUCAACAAUUUCUUUCCCAUGGUCAAAGUUACCACAUUUUUUGUACCUUGGUUCUUAGAUCUGUGGUGCGUAUAUUACUAUACUAUUUACACACAAGUUAUUGGGUAGCUUUUCAACAUUUUUCUUUCUAAUGGUCAAAGUUACCAUGGUGUUUGUACGCAAGUUAUCAUGUCUGUGGUGUGCAUGUUACCAUGCUAUUUAGACACAAAUUACCAUAUGAAUAUUUUCGACAAUUCUCUUCCCAAUGAUCAAACUUACCACGGUGUUCCCAAGAGCCUGUUUGGGACUGUUCUGCUCCACUAAAAUCAGCUUCACUCCAUUAAUCCACUUUGGAGCAGUUUCAUAUAGGAGUUGCAGCCCCACCAAAAGGGCAGGUUAUCAUGUUUGGUUUCCAGCUAGCUACAGCUUUAAGAAAAGGAAAUUUGGUGGAAUGAAUCUAUUUGAUUGGGUGACAUGGGGAAAAACAAAGGGGCAGUGGUGCGAAAUUUUGCUCCAACUCCAGCUUCACAAAAAACAGGGAGUUGUACCCCAAAUUCUAUAUUUUUGCGGGACGGUAUAUCAUGGAGCUACCUUAUUCGGUUUGUGUUUUCUAAAACGAAGCUGAAUUUUAGGAAGCAGAGCAGUCCCAAACAUGCUAUAUCAUCGAUGCAGAGGUGUCUCCUUUCUUUAGGUACAUAGGACAUCCGGCACUAGGAUGAGUUCGUCACUUCUUUCCUCAUAGAGUACACAUGUGUAACAUGGGAGGUGAAUAUUUUUCCUUGGCAGAAGGGUUUGUACAUGGUAGUCUGGCAACAUAAUCAAGUCCGGCAACAUAAUCAGCAUAUUUGUAGGGAAAUGUUUACAAUCAGUGUGCCGGCGGAACAUUGCGCCGGCCCGCUACACGCGUGCCAUGCGAACAUGGGUCCCACACAUGUCUUUAUCCUAGCACUGCUCGUCCACAGAAACUUAUCCCUUACAUCGUCUUUUCUUUGUCUUCUUUCAUCUGCUCAAACAUCUUGCCCGCCUGCAUGCCUCCUUUUCUCUCAUACGCGUUGUCGCAUCCUAGCUCCGGUGAGGCGACCACCGGCACACCUCUCCUGCACGGCCAUGCUCCAAGAAGGUGUACAGUCGUCAACAGCUCCGCCGCAGUGAGUGUUGCCAUGGAGUUACACGAAGCAAAAAAGAAAAAGCUACAACCGGCAUCGGCAAAGACGUCACAACGCUGCUCCGGGAAACAACCAGCAUUACAUCCUGCUACAGCCCGGCGGUGUGCCCCCGCAACACCGCCAUGGAAUCCACCACCCCUGGAAGCCGCAACCAGUUGAGUCAGAAGCUGCAACUGUCGUUGAAUUUUGCUACUACCGACGAUAGAUUUGCUACAUCCAUCAUGGCGAAGCUGCGACCUACUACAGCGAUUCCUUUUUUGUUGCAAGGUCCUUAGAUUUUGCUACCACCGGCGAGGGAUUUUGCUACAUCCAUCAUGGUGGAGCAGCGACACGUGACGACGGCGAGAUGAAUUGCUGCAACCGUCAUCAAUUUUGCUACAACCGGCAACAAAAUUUGCUACAACUAACUGACCACUUCGCGUGUUGUGACAGCGACGACAAUGGUUUUUGCUGCAACCAUCAUCUUGUUUUGCUACGACAAGCUAAUUUUUUUGCUACAACCUAUUGGCCAUACUGCGCCUCACGACUGGGAGACGACCCGUUCUUUUUUGCAGCAGCCGUCUACUUUUGCUACUACCAGCGAGGUCGAAUUUUUGCUGCAACCGCCAUCUACCAUCGUCUACUUUUGCUAACCUGCGAGGUCAUUUUUUUGAUAAGUUGCAAUCGUUGACAUGAAAUGGUUCAACCCUAUAUUUGAAAAGCUUCAACCCGGCGACAAAAAGCUAGAACUGGCACCUCACCAUUGAUGCAAUGGCGGCACUCCUUCGUCGGAGCUACGACCUUCACCGGCAGGAGCUACAUGCAGUGGAGCCAGCGAGAGCCACGACGAACUGGGGUGCUGCAACAGGGCGGGCCAUGCUGGGAACAAGCGACGGUGACGCUGGAGAGGAGCUGGCGGCCGGUAGGAUGUCCUGGAGAUGGCGCAGUCGAGGGCGGCGGCUGAUACGUAUCCAACGUAUCUAUAAUUAUGAAGUAUUCAUGCCAUGUUUAUAAUAUUUCCACAUGAUUAUGGUAUGAUUUGAUUGGAACUAACCCGGACUGACGUUGUUUUCAGCAGAACUACCGUGGUGUUGUUUUUGUGCAGAAAUAAAAGUUCUCGGAAUGCGCUGAAAAUCAACAGAGAUUUUUUGGAAAAUAUAAAAAAUACUGGAACAGAAAUCUACCAGAGGGGAGUCCCGAGGGGCCCACGAGGGUGGAGGGCGCGCCCCUGUGCCUUGUGGACUCCCCGUGGGGCCCCCUGACCGAUGCCAACCUCUACUAUAAAUGCCCAAACUUCCAAAAAAUAACCUAGUCUGGGAUUCCGCUGUCGCAAGCCUCUGUACCCACGAGAAAUCAAUCUAGGCCCUCUCUGGCACCCUGCCGGAGGGGGGCCAUCAUCACCGGAGGCCAUGGGGAAGGAUCUCGGAGGGGCCAUCAUUGCCGUGAAGGCCAAGGACCAGAGGAGGAACCUCUCCCCAUCCAGGGGGAGGCCAUGGAGGAGGAAGCACAAGGGGGGGACCUCUCCUCCUCUCUCUCGGUGGCGCCGGAGUGCCAUCGGGAGGGGAAUCAUCGCCGCGGUGAUCGUCUUCAUCGACAUCACCAUCAUCAUCACCAUCCUCAUCUCUUUUACGCGGUCCACUCUCCCGCACCCCGCUGUAAUCCCUACUUGAACAUGGUGCUUUAUGCCACAUAUUAUGAUCCAAUGAUGUGUUGCCAUCCUAUGAUGUUUUGAGUAGAUAUCUUUUGUCUUUGGGUUGAUUGAUGAUCUAGAUUUGUAUGAGUUGUAUGUUUUAUUUUGGUGUUGUCCUAUUGCGCCCUCCGUGUCACGCAAGCGUGAGGGAUUGCCGCUGUAGGGUGUUGCAAUAUGUCCAUGGUUUACUUAUUGUCUACGUUGCUUGAGUGACAGAAGCAUAAACAAGGAUAAGUGGGUCGCAGCGUAUGGGAAUAAAGGGGACUUGAUAUGUUAAUGCAAUGGUUGGGUUUUACCUUAAUGAUCUUUAGUAGUUGCGGAUGCUUGCUAGAGUUCCAAUCAUAAGUGCAUAUGAUCCAAGAAGAGAAAGUAUGUUAUCUUAUGCCUCUCCCUCAUAUGAAAUUGCAAUAGUUAUUACCGGUCUCGUUAACAAUUGCCUAGGACAAUUCCGCACACUGACCCAUCAUUAUUCCACACUCGCUAUUUAUAAUACUUAAGUAAUAUAUUCUAACUUUAUGAUAGCAACACCUACUUUUAUAUUUUAGCUCUCCAAUAUCAUGCAAAGUUAUCCUCUUCAUAUCCACAACGUAGUUUUAUUUCUCGUUUCUAGCUGGAAGCAAACGUUCGGUGUACGUAGAGUCGUAUCGGUGGCAGAUAGGACUUGAGAGAAUAUUGAUCUUACCUUUAGCUCCUUGUGGGUUCGACACUCCAUACUUAUCACUUCCACCUUUGGGAAUUGCUACGAUGAUUCCCUACACUUGGGGAUUAUCAGUGGCCGACGACGACAAGUGCGGCGGUCGGUAGCGAUGUGGGUGGCCUGCAAGCUGGUUGACGUCUGGGAGAUCAGGGAACUACUCGUGAUGAAAAUAUGCCAUGUUUUUUUUAAACUAGCGAAAGUAGUCGGGGGGAAGAAGGCAUCGCGGGGCUAUUAGCAAACAAAUCAUACGUACCCAGUGCGACCAGACAAAAUUUCGACAGGCGCACUGCUACCUCUUGUGCUUGCGUUGGUUUUCCCUUGAAGAGGAAAGGGUGAUGCAGCAAAGUAGCGUAAGUAUUUCCCUCAGUUUUGAGAACCAAGGUAUCAAUCCAGUAGGAGACGACACACAAGUCACUGAAUACCUGCAUAAACAAUCAAGAACUUGCAACCAACGCGAUAAAGGGGUUGUCAAUCCCUUCACAGUCACUCGCAAAAUUGAGAUCUGAUAGAGAUAAUAAAGUAAAUAUUUUUGGUAUAUUUGAUGUAUAGAUUGGAAAGUAAAGAUUGCAAAAUAGUAGAUUGGAAACUAGCAAGAUGUAAACGAGAUUCAAUAAUAUGGAAAAGAGACCUGGGGGCCAUAGGUUUCACUAGUGGGUCUCUCGAGAUAGCAUAUAUUACGGUGGGUGAACAAAUUACUGCCGAGCAAUUGAUAGAAAAGCGCAUAAUUAUGAUGACAUCUAAGGCAAUGAUCAUGAACAUAGGCAUCACAUCCGUGUCAAGUAGACCGACUCCUGCCUGCAUCUACUACUAUUACUCCACACAUCGACCACUAUCCAACAUGCAUCUAGAGUAUUAAGUUCAUAAAGAACGGAGUAACGCAUUUAGCAAGAUGACAUGAUGUAGAAGGAUAAACUCAAACAAUAUGAUAUAAACCCCAUCUUUUUAUCCUCGAUGACAACAACAAUACGUGCCUUGCUGCCCCUACUAUCACUGGGAAAGGACACCUCAAGAUUGAACCCAAAGCUAAGCACUUCUCUCAUGGCAAGAAAGAUCAAUCUAGUAGACCAAACUAAACCGAUAAUUCGAAGAGACUUGCAAAGAUAUCAAAUCAUGCAUAUAAGAAUUCAGAGAAGAACCAAAUAAUAUUCAUAGAUAAUCUUGAUCAUAAAUCCACAAUUCAUCGGAUCUCGGCAAACACACUGCAAAAGAGUAUUACAUCGAAUAGAUCUCCAAGAACAUCAAGGAGAACUUUGUAUUGAGAAUCAAAGAGAGAGAAAAAGUCAUCUAGCUAAUAACUAUUGUCGGGGAUAUACCCCGCGAUGUAACCCGGCCGGAAGUAUAACCCGGCCGGACUUGGCGACUCACUAAGUGACCCGCCCGAUCCUGGCGACUUAUGGGUGACCUGGCAAGCGGAUCGGAGGAGCGACAAGACCCGGGGGCCCAGGAGGCUUAAGGCCCAGAAGGCCGGCUUACGUUAUGAUAGGCCGGCUUAAGAGGAAAGGCGUGAGGAGUAUCUCCCUUAUAAGGAAUCAAGACCCGGACUUGAAUCCGGCUUGUAGUACAAGAUGGGCUAGUCCUACUAGGACUCCACAUGUAACCCGCCCCUCUAACUUAUAUAAGGAGGGGCAGGGCUCCCCAAAGGGAGAGGCAAGAAGAAACAAUAUCUAGGGCUAGACACAAAGGGGGAGCCGGCUUACGGCAACUCUUCUCAUGAGCAUAAUGAGACCUAGCCACAAAUAGCAUGUAGGGUUGUUACCGGAUGAUGUUUCCCGGGGCCCGAAACUGUCUAAAUCCUUAUCUUGCGUAUUGCGUCUCUCGUCCCGAUCAACCCCUCUCAAGCUACCACAUAGAUGCGUUGGCCUCGCGACUAAGUCCUGGCACUAAGGACAUCUGACGUGUUAAUUCCACGAUAGUUGGCGCCCACCGUGGGGCUCGCGCACGGUGGUGUUAAGUUCUUGGAGGGAUUCUUCCCAGGGUUUCGAGAAGCUCGUGAUCGUUCAGAUGAAGAAGAGUUAGCACAAGAUCGACUCCGAGUUCAUCGGACGAGGUUAAAAGAAGGAAUAAAUCCAGCGCAAUAGUAAGUUGUCUUUCCAAGUUUUUUGCUACAGAUGGAAAAUUCUACGGCGAGACCUGGAUAAGGUUUUGUUUGGAUCUGCUAUCGGUGUGGCUGCUAUGCAUCGCCGAGUCAGACAAGAAUUCCUACAGCUACCGUAUGCCACGUAGUACCAAUCCGUAUCAACGCAUGCGUGAGUGGGCUGGAAUCAAGUCCAGAGGUCAACCACGACCCGGAAGAGGAUAGGAUUAUGGGCACGGACUCCGUCGCUGCGCCUGGCCGGCUUUCACCUCGCACCUCUGCCUCCGGCCGGUCGCUGGCCCAGGUCGGCUCUCGCGUCUCCGUGCCUCGAGUGUUUGCCUCGGCAAAUCCGCCUGCUGCUGGUGUGUGCCUCUGAGCUGCCGCCUCUAUUACUGUGGUGCGGCCGCCCUUUCAAAUCCAGAAAUAAGAGAAAGAGGGAUGGACAAGCCUCCUCAGAGCUCAGUGACUCUCAGCCGUUGGAUGCGAUCUCUUGAUGCGUUUUCGUCCGUUCGAUCGAGAGGUGGGAGGAUCUGGGCCGUCGGAUCCGGAAGAAACACUAUUGGAAUGAAUAGUAAUAAUGGCAACACAUUGUAAAUACCAUGCCCCCACCAGGGCAUUUCGGUCAUUUCGCCUGGGGGGUAUAAAAUGGGGUCGCGCUCCUGUGGCGGAGACCUAGCUGCCGCCGCUUCCUCCCGCACGCCUCCUCCUCUCUCUCCCUUCCUCCCGCAGCCGCCUCCCUCCCUCCCGUGCGCCUCCUCUCCUCCCCCCGCCUCCCUCAGCCACAUCGCCGCCGCCACCACCCGCCUCCCCACUCGGACGAACCCCUCUCCUCUUCCCCCGCCUCGCCUCUCUCCCUUCCCCCGUCCAAACCCUAGGCCCGCGCCCGCCGGCCGCCGCCGCCGCCGCUUGCCCAGGCCAUCCUCCCGCUGUGAAGGAAGCGGCCAGAGAGGAAGGGCGUCGCCAGGUGUGCAUGUGCCUCCGCGGAUUCGUGCCACGAUUGCCGGAGGCGUGGGCGCCACGGGUCACCUCUCCAGAUCGGUGGAGGCCAAGGGCAAGGGCAAGGAGGAGGGGAGAAGAAGACCUUCGGCCAGCUGCGGGAAGCCGCCGCUGGCGUCCUCCGCGGCAUCCACCGGCGCCGGUGGCGGGCAGAAGCGCAAGUGCCACGACCACACGCACUCCGAGAACGUCGCCGGUGGAAAGUACGGCGCCUCCGGUGGCCGCUGCCACUGCUCCAAGCGCAGGUUAGUAGUCUAGCAGAUUCGAUUCACCCAGGGAUGGAUUUCGUUGUUCCGUUCUUCGCCUGCCGGUGUUAUCCAUGUUGCUAAAGAUUGAAUGAAUGGAACCGGCAGGAAGUCCCGGGUUCGGCGGAUGACUCGCGUGCCGGCAAUCAGCUCGAAGGCGGCGAAGAUCCCCGCGGACGACUUCUCGUGGCGCAAGUACGGGCAGAAGCUGCCUGUGGAGAAUGCCCUGGACUCAGCAGUUGACGUAACUCGGUUGAGCUGCGGUGCGCUAUAUUUAGCUGAUUUUAUUGGGAAGGUGGGCACCUACCUGGAAAAUAAAAUGGCCUGGUUUAUCCUGUAUUAUGGCCUGUCGUUGAUAACUAUUAGCUUACUAUCAGGUCUGCACCAUUCUAGAUAUCAUCUUAACUUUUAACUUCUCCAAAUGCAACAUUGGAUAACAUAAAUAGGAUUUUUUUGUCAAAUUAUGAAACUGUAAUUAAUAGGUUCACCUGAAUAUUGAUCUGUUUUGUUAUUUUAGGGAAGAGGUAUGAAAUUCUCAACUUAGAGGGAGCAUACACAAGGUAUUCCAUGCUUCCCAUUCUCCUCAUGUAGCAAAGGAACAUCCAACCUGUCAUGUGUCGAUCACUAAGUAAUAAACAGGAAUCUGAUGUUGGAAAUAAGCAACUAGAUAUCAAAGCAAAAGGAUCACGGCUCCUCUUACAAAUCAGUGAACUAUUCUAAUUCUGGACUCUUAUGGCCUAGAUAUGCCAAGCAGUCGCAAUUGCUAUUUUAGUCAAACUAAAAAAAUAUUAACUUUGCAGUGUAAGCAGACCCUUGAGCAAGAGAGCAACAUUACUGCUAGCUUCCCUGUAAGUUCAGUAUGUUUCUUAACUGAAAAUAUCAUUCUGUUAUCAAGUCAUUCUCAAUGUGUGCUGUUUCAUUCUGGUGCCUGUAGGCUGCAUUACAGGAGAUGGAUACGAAGUCCUCGGAGGAGGAAUACAAAGCUCUACAAGGUGAUGGAGCUGGAGAUGUGUAUUUCCAGUCUCUUGAAGAACGAAUCAUUAAUAUGAAGGUGUUCUGCCGAUACUUUUCAGUUUGGUUGCUCCAUGAUUAAUGCUAAUUGAUCUCUCUCUCUUUUUUCUUCUCAUGGAGAAAUACAUAUACGUUACUUAGAAUAAUGCCAUGUGCAGUCUUAAGAAGCUAAACAUCUUUCUCUGUAGUGAGUUUCUGAACUAGGCGGGAUACCAUGGUCCAUGGGUGCAAGAUAACUCAUAUAUGGAUUACCACGAGUCCAGUGCGUUUAAAGUAUGUAUAUGCUUAUAUGCGUGGCUGCUGUUGGUACAACUUGACAACUCCAUAUAGAGGUAUUAAACAUUGAGAAUCACAACAUUUACCAAUGAAAUGACUAACCAACAAGGAACAAGUAUAAGAAGAAAAGCUAAGUAUUCUUUCCAUUUGCUUCUUCCACCAUUUGCAUCUUUUGUAGUUAGCUUCAGAAACCAAAAAUACAAAAAUAGAAUAAGGCCUCGCUUUUUAUAAUUUCAUUUAUUUUUGAAUGCUAAUUAUAUCAAAGGCAUGCCUCCAAGAGGGUGAGAAGCUAGAUGAUGCUAUUUAUAAACGUUUUGCUCUCCACUGAGUUUAUACAGAUUCUAUAAGAGGAGAGAAAGAUCAGUUCGUCUUCUUGUAUGAUCGUCUCUCUCGGCAGUUUUAGGUUACAACUUACAAGCGUGUGUUUUAAUGUACAUGGUGUGGGCUACACAGAUUUUCUUUGACGUGAUGCAACUAUGUUUGCUUACCCUUUUUCUUAAACUACAAACCGAAACACGUUUCAUGCAACAUUCGAACAGGUUGAUUCUUUAUUUGUUCACACAAUACAUAGUGCCACCCGCCGCUAACUACAAUUUGUACAGAUUUUGCAGGGAUGUAUAUAUAUGGUCAUGUUUCACUGGGAUCCUCAACUGUUCCAGUUCGUAUUUAGCAGGAUCACAUGUUGACCAAUGACUCAAAUUAAUUUUCUCACUGAUCCAGUUAACUCAAGAACUUGUGACCCAGUUCUAGGACAACUGUGGACUAAGGUACGCUAGCUGCUUGCAUCUUUCAGAGGAUGUAAUUAGAGCCAACUAUAUGUGUGUUUUAUCCUCUUAGAACUGUUAGUAUCCACUUAGGGGAGAAGUGCAAGCAGAAGCAGAUUUCAAUUUGAAUAAGUGUGCUAGAAAGUGUGUUGGCAAAUAUUUGGUGCACUGUGAUCUAAAGGAACAUUGUAUAGGUUGUUACAAAUCCACCAUAAACAGCUUAGCGAUUCAUGGACGACUUCCGCAAGCACACUAGAUGCCUGAGACCAGAUAAAAUUAUCAUUUUUAGAUUGGUAGUAGUCCCCCUGGGAUUAUUGUGCACAUUGCCAAUUGGUGGUGGUCUUUGUUUUCAAGCAGAGGGUUGCUCUGUAGACAUUACUGACUCUAAUUUACUUUGGGAUCCUGGUUUUUGCGUCUUGAUUUUAGGGAUGGAGGUUGAUUUAUCAGCGGUUACAGGCAUGCAUGCUUUAUGGUGGCAAGCAUUAUGUAUCAUUGAAGACUUUCCAUUUGUUCAAGUUCCUGAUAUGCUAAUCGCUAACCUUUAGGCAUUCAUAUAUAAAAAGUGUCACCAUACAAGAGAAUUACAUUUAUGUGAUGAUCUUUGAGUUUGAUUCGUGUGUUUUAUUUUGUAGAUUUGUUUGGAGAGUUCUGUCCAUCCAAGCACCAUGCGUAUGUGGCCAGUGAGUUUGCAUUUGUGUAGAAAAUUAUUGCUACUAAAAGAAAUGGAAUUGUUUUCUUCAUCCUUGUUUCAAACCAACUAAUAAACUAGAUGCUUGGAAGACUCUUUUCACUAUAUAGUUCAUGUAUGCACCUCUACUUGAUAAUCAUAAAUAGUUUGAUCACACCAUUCUUUCAAAAAAUAAACAAUCUACUAAAAACAACCAGCAGAUGAUGUAUCUGAAGGCAUUUCGUUUCAGGUGAUAUGUUCGUGACUUAAUUUUGUGGCCUACACAACUAAUGUAGAGGUUAUAUAAGUGUAGAACAGUGAUUUAGGAUAUGAUGUUUUUUAAAUACCUUUCGCGAAUGUUUGUUUGAACUCCGUUCCAAGACCACAUACUUUAGGAAAUUUUUCUUAUGUUUCAACCAAAUAAGCUCUCAAAGGAUUAGCAAGCACAUGGACCAUUCCGAUUAAACUAUUUGUUCUAGGUCACAAUUGAAGUAUUGAUAUGUUCUGCCCAACGUUCAUUACACCGAGUCAUGUAUUUUUUUUUCUGAACAUACAUUAUAUUUUCUAGAAAUUUCUCCUCUGUUAGAGAAACAUAUAAAUUCUUCUGUCUUUUUAUUACAUGAUACAACCUAAGGAAAUUGGAACGACUGAUUUAUGUGGGAAACUGAUGGGCUAAAGCUCAAAAGCUCACACCUGGAUGUUUUUUUGUCACACCUUCAAAAUCGUGUAGAAGAAACGCUUACAAAAAGAAGAAAGAGACCUAGUUUGCCUUCCUUGCUGGCGUCCUUGUCAUCUCCAACCCGCCCACGGGUAUUGCAACUCCUUCCCAUCUGGUUUCCUCCUAUGAGAUAUUUUCUUCACUUGAGCUUUAGAAACAUUUAUUUAAGUGGUUACUGGUUGCUCCAGAAAUUUGAUAUUAAUAUGAUUUUGAUAUAGCCAUGAUGGCUCCUGUGUAGUUGUUUGGUUUGGUAUUUGAUUGUAAACUCUGGUUUGGUAUUUUUAGUCGCAUGUUUCAGUGGAAGAAAAAAAAUAGUGUCAAAGUAGAAUGCACAGCGUUGUGGCAUAGUCGACUAUGUUGUAUGAGAAGAUUUGAUCAGAUGGUCCUUUUUUAUUCUUUCUGAUUUUCUAUAGAUAGUUGGGUUUUCGGAUACAAAUAUAAUUUUAGUAAUCCCAUGAGUUUUUGUCAA
rnacentral:lncRNA from 1 species